rnacentral:rRNA from 1 species
AGCGUACACGGUGGAUGCCCUGGCAGUCAGAGGCGAUGAAGGACGUGCUAAUCUGCGAAAAGCGUCGGUAAGGUGAUAUGAACCGUUACAGCCGGCGAUGUCCGAAUGGGGAAACCCAGUGUGAUUCGUCACACUAUCGUUAACUGAAUACAUAGGUUAACGAGGCGAACCGGGGGAACUGAAACAUCUAAGUACCCCGAGGAAAAGAAAUCAACCGAGAUUCCCCCAGUAGCGGCGAGCGAACGGGGAGCAGCCCAGAGUCUGAAUCAGCUUGUGUGUUAGUGGAACGGUCUGGAAAGUCCGACGGUACAGGGUGAUAGUCCCGUACACCAAAAUGCACAGGCUGUGAACUCGAAGAGUAGGGCGGGACACGUGGUAUCCUGUCUGAAUAUGGGGGGACCAUCCUCCAAGGCUAAAUACUCCUGACUGACCGAUAGUGAACCAGUACCGUGAGGGAAAGGCGAAAAGAACCCCGGCGAGGGGAGUGAAAAAGAACCUGAAACCGUGUACGUACAAGCAGUGGGAGCACCCUUUAGGGUGUGACUGCGUACCUUUUGUAUAAUGGGUCAGCGACUUAUAUUCUGUAGCAAGGUUAACCGUAUAGGGGAGCCGCAGGGAAACCGAGUCUUAACUGGGCGUUAAGUUGCAGGGUAUAGACCCGAAACCCGGUGAUCUAGCCAUGGGCAGGUUGAAGGUUGGGUAACACUAACUGGAGGACCGAACCGACUAAUGUUGAAAAAUUAGCGGAUGACUUGUGGCUGGGGGUGAAAGGCCAAUCAAACCGGGAGAUAGCUGGUUCUCCCCGAAAGCUAUUUAGGUAGCGCCUCGUGAAUUCAUCUUCGGGGGUAGAGCACUGUUUCGGCUAGGGGGUCAUCCCGACUUACCAACCCGAUGCAAACUACGAAUACCGAAGAAUGUUAUCACGGGAGACACACGGCGGGUGCUAACGUCCGUCGUGAAGAGGGAAACAACCCAGACCGCCAGCUAAGGUCCCAAAGUCACAGUUAAGUGGGAAACGAUGUGGGAAGGCACAGACAGCCAGGAUGUUGGCUUAGAAGCAGCCAUCAUUUAAAGAAAGCGUAAUAGCUCACUGGUCGAGUCGGCCUGCGCGGAAGAUGUAACGGGGCUAAACUGUGCACCGAAGCUGCGGCAGCGACACUAUGUGUUGUUGGGUAGGGGAGCGUUCUGUAAGCCUGCGAAGGUGGCCUGUGAGGGUUGCUGGAGGUAUCAGAAGUGCGAAUGCUGACAUAAGUAACGAUAAUGCGGGUGAAAAGCCCGCACGCCGGAAGACCAAGGGUUCCUGUCCAACGUUAAUCGGGGCAGGGUGAGUCGACCCCUAAGGCGAGGCCGAAAGGCGUAGUCGAUGGGAAACAGGUUAAUAUUCCUGUACUUGGUGUUACUGCGAAGGGGGGACGGAGAAGGCUAUGUUAGCCGGGCGACGGUUGUCCCGGUUUAAGCAUGUAGGCGGAGGUUCCAGGUAAAUCCGGUACCUUUUAACGCUGAGGUGUGAUGACGAGGCACUACGGUGCUGAAGUAACAAAUGCCCUGCUUCCAGGAAAAGCCUCUAAGCAUCAGGUAACAUUGAAUCGUACCCCAAACCGACACAGGUGGUCAGGUAGAGAAUACCAAGGCGCUUGAGAGAACUCGGGUGAAGGAACUAGGCAAAAUGGUGCCGUAACUUCGGGAGAAGGCACGCUGAUAUGUAGGUGAAGCCCCUGCGGGUGGAGCUGAAAUCAGUCGAAGAUACCAGCUGGCUGCAACUGUUUAUUAAAAACACAGCACUGUGCAAACACGAAAGUGGACGUAUACGGUGUGACGCCUGCCCGGUGCCGGAAGGUUAAUUGAUGGGGUUAUCCGUAAGGAGAAGCUCUUGAUCGAAGCCCCGGUAAACGGCGGCCGUAACUAUAACGGUCCUAAGGUAGCGAAAUUCCUUGUCGGGUAAGUUCCGACCUGCACGAAUGGCGUAAUGAUGGCCAGGCUGUCUCCACCCGAGACUCAGUGAAAUUGAACUCGCUGUGAAGAUGCAGUGUACCCGCGGCAAGACGGAAAGACCCCGUGAACCUUUACUAUAGCUUGACACUGAACAUUGAGCCUUGAUGUGUAGGAUAGGUGGGAGGCUUUGAAGCGUGGACGCCAGUCUGCGUGGAGCCAACCUUGAAAUACCACCCUUUAAUGUUUGAUGUUCUAACGUUGGCCCCUGACCGGGGUUGCGGACAGUGUCUGGUGGGUAGUUUGACUGGGGCGGUCUCCUCCCAAAGAGUAACGGAGGAGCACGAAGGUUAGCUAAUCCUGGUCGGACAUCAGGAGGUUAGUGCAAUGGCAUAAGCUAGCUUGACUGCGAGCGUGACGGCGCGAGCAGGUGCGAAAGCAGGUCAUAGUGAUCCGGUGGUUCUGAAUGGAAGGGCCAUCGCUCAACGGAUAAAAGGUACUCCGGGGAUAACAGGCUGAUACCGCCCAAGAGUUCAUAUCGACGGCGGUGUUUGGCACCUCGAUGUCGGCUCAUCACAUCCUGGGGCUGAAGUAGGUCCCAAGGGUAUGGCUGUUCGCCAUUUAAAGUGGUACGCGAGCUGGGUUUAGAACGUCGUGAGACAGUUCGGUCCCUAUCUGCCGUGGGCGCUGGAGAAUUGAGGGGGGCUGCUCCUAGUACGAGAGGACCGGAGUGGACGCAUCACUGGUGUUCGGGUUGUCAUGCCAAUGGCAUUGCCCGGUAGCUAAAUGCGGAAGAGAUAAGUGCUGAAAGCAUCUAAGCACGAAACUUGCCCCGAGAUGAGUUCU